GUCUCUGUGGCAUAAUCGGUUACUGUGUUCGGCUGUUAACUGAAAGGUUGGUGGUUCGAGCCCACCCAGGGACA